UGUGAACUGCAGGACACAUGAACAUCGACAUUUCGAACGCACAUUGCGGUCCACGGAUCUCGUUCCCGGACCACGCCUGGCUGAGGGUCGUUUAUAAAAACGAACCCGACUGCUCUCUCUCUCUCUCUCUCGCAAGAGAGCGGAGGAGGAGCGUUGAUCUGGGCGCUCGUCUCUAUCUCUUACUCUUCUUUAUUGAAGAGUUAGCAGUUGUGAUACGUCGCCUCAAACGAAACGCAAGAGAAAAGAUGAAUUCGUUCGUCUAGCUGGCGCGCGCGCUUACCGCUUGGAGAGUACUCUCGCGAGUACUUCCGAUCGUUCUGCGUCGAGUCCCGGAGCUUCUCGCCUAGUCGAGCAGCGGACCGACGUCUAGCACACGAUCAGGCUCGUCCAUGGUACGGUUAUUGAACGCGCGCGCGCGCUUUUAUUAUUAUUGUUUUGUUACAAUAAUGAUGAUGAUGUUGAUGGCUAGCUCGAAUUUUGCGAAUGAGUCUUUUUUCUCGAUCGACGACCUCAGAGCAGGCAAGAC
rnacentral:rRNA from 1 species